CACUGACCUAGAGUGUAAAUUCCACGAAUUUUGAGGGCUUAAAGUUAUUACCGAAACUUCAAACAAAGUAGUUUUAAUAUUUUGUGGUAGCAGAACAUUCCGUAGGUCGUAAAAGUUAUAGUGUAAACUAUGGUGAAGAUAUCGGAAGCGAGAAUACUUGCAUGAGUAGCAUAAAACAACGACAAGCGUUGUGGCCGUAAGUCUAAGGUUUCCGAUCUAAAGUAAAACUGGGUUGGCAAAAGCGUGUGCUUAAAAAAAAACGGUCCCUAAGCUGUCAAGCCAAAGCUUGCGGUAAUGGGUAAGAUUAUACUGUGAGAAGUAACUGACGAAAAAUUCACUUUAUUUUUAUAUUUAUAUAAAAAUAAAUUAUUUUUUCCAAGAAAAAGGUUCUUUUUUUAAACCGUACCUUAAACCGCCACAGA
rnacentral:rRNA from 1 species